rnacentral:rRNA from 1 species
ACGCACGCUGGCGGCGUGCUUCACACCUGCCAGUCGAACGGAAAGGCCCUGCUUUUGUGGGGUGCUCGAGUGGCGAACGGGUGAGUAACACGUGAGUAACCUGCCCUUGACUUGGGAUAACUUCAGGAAACUGGGGCUAAUACCGGAUAGGAGCUCCUGCUGCAUGGUGGGGGUUGGAAAGUUUCGGCGGUUGGGGAUGGACUCGCGGCUUAUCAGCUUGUUGGUGGGGUAGUGGCUUACCAAGGCUUUGACGGGUAGCCGGCCUGAGAGGGUGACCGGCCACAUUGGGACUGAGAUACGGCCCAGACUCCUACGGGAGGCAGCAGUGGGGAAUAUUGCACAAUGGGCGGAAGCCUGAUGCAGCAACGCCGCGUGCGGGAUGACGGCCUUCGGGUUGUAAACCGCUUUCGCCUGUGACGAAGCGUGAGUGACGGUAAUGGGUAAAGAAGCACCGGCUAACUACGUG